AUGGAGCGCUCGGCGGCGGGCGUCUCGUACCAGCGCUUCCCGCGCGUGCGGAUCCGCGAGCUCAAGGACGAGUACGCCAAGUUCGAGCUCAAGGACACCGACGCGAGCAUGGCCAACGCCCUCCGCCGCGUCAUGAUCGCCGAGGUCCCCACCGUCGCCAUCGACCUCGUCGAGAUCGAGAGCAACUCCUCCGUCCUCAACGACGAGUUCAUCGCGCACCGCCUCGGCCUCAUCCCGCUCACCUCCUCCGCCGCCAUGUCCAUGCGCUUCUCCCGCGACUGCGACGCCUGUGACGGAGACGGCUCCUGCGAGUACUGCUCCGUCGAGUUCCACCUCGCCGCCCGCGCCACCGACUCCGGCCAGACGCUCGAGGUCACCUCCACCAAGGACCUCCGCUCCACCGACCCCAAGGUCUGCCCUGUCGACCAGCAAAGGGAGUACCAGCAGGCCCUCGGUAACGUCGACGCCUACGAGCCCGAUGCUGCUGGUGAUCACAGGGGCAUAUUAAUUGUAAAGCUGCGCCGUGGGCAAGAGCUGCGUCUUCGAGCAAUUGCCAGGAAGGGAAUUGGAAAGGACCAUGCCAAAUGGUCUCCAGCUGCUACUGUGACCUUCAUGUAUGAGCCUGACAUACGUAUUAACCAAGAACUCAUGGAGACACUUACACUUGAGGAAAAACAAAGCUGGGUGGAGAGCAGCCCUACAAAAGUAUUUGACAUUGAUCCUGUCACCCAACAGGUGACGAUUGUGGACCCAGAGGCAUACACAUAUGACGAUGAGGUGAUCAAGAAAGCAGAGGCCAUGGGGAAGCCAGGAUUGGUAGAGAUCAAUGCCAAGGAGGACAGCUUUGUGUUCACUGUGGAGACAACGGGGGCCAUCACAGCCUAUGAGCUGAUUAUGAACGCUAUCACGGUCCUGAGGCAGAAGCUGGACGCCGUUCGCCUGCAAGACGAUGACGGCGACCUUGGCGAGCUCGGCGCCCACCUUAUCGGAGGCUAA
rnacentral:rRNA from 1 species